rnacentral:rRNA from 1 species
GAUUCUGGCUCAGGAUGAACGCUAGCUACAGGCUUAACACAUGCAAGUCGAGGGCAGCAUGUGGUGCUUGCAACCAAUGAUGGCGACCGGCGCACGGGUGAGUAACGCGUAUCCAACCUUCCCUAUAGUAGAGGAUAGCCCGGCGAAAGUCGGAUUAAUACUCUAUGUUUUCCAAUGCAGACAUCUAAAAUGGAACAAAGGUUUACCGCUAUGGGAUGGGGAUGCGUCUGAUUAGAUAGUCGGCGGGGUAACGGCCCACCGAGUCGACGAUCAGUAGGGGUUCUGAGAGGAAGGUCCCCCACAUUGGAACUGAGACACGGUCCAAACUCCUACGGGAGGCAGCAGUGAGGAAUAUUGGUCAAUGGGCGAGAGCCUGAACCAGCCAAGUAGCGUGCCAGGAUGACGGCCCUAUGGGUUGUAAACUGCUUUUAUACAGGGAUAAAGUGACGUACGUGUACGUUAUUGUAGGUACUGUAUGAAUAAGGACCGGCUAAUUCCGUGCCAGCCGCUGC